UACGAAGGGAGCUAGCGUUGUUCGGAAUCACUGGGCUUAAAGCGCGUGUAGGCGGGCAUGUACGUCCGUCGCUGAAAUCCCCCGGCUCAACCGGGGAAGUGGCGCGGAUACGGCAUUCCUUGAGGGGCGUAGGGGGACCUGGAACUUCCGGUGGAGCGGUGAAAUGCGUUGAGAUCGGAAGGAACGCCCGUGGCGAAAGCGAGGUCCUGGACGCCUACUGACGCUGAGACGCGAAAGCCAGGGGAGCGAACGGG
rnacentral:rRNA from 1 species